rnacentral:rRNA from 1 species
CAGUCGCCGCGGGAAUACGGAGGGUGCAAGCGUUAAUCGGAAUUACUGGGCGUAAAGCGCACGCAGGCGGUCUGACAAGUCAGAUGUGAAAUCCCCGGGCUUAACCUGGGAACUGCAUUUGAAACUGUCAGGCUGGAGUCUUGUAGAGGGGGGUGGAAUUCCAGGUGUAGCGGUGAAAUGCGUAGAGAUCUGGAGGAAUACCGGUGGCGAAGGCGGCCCCCUGGACAAAGACUGACGCUCAGGUGCGAAAGCGUGGGGAGCAAACAGGAUUAGAUACCCCGGUAGUCCUGUCUCUUAUACC